rnacentral:rRNA from 1 species
UACGAAGGGGGCGAGCGUUGUUCUGAAUUCCUGGGCGUAAAGGGCGCGCAGGCGGAGCAUGACGUCAGAUGUGAAAGCCCCGGGCUUAACCUGGGAACUGCAUUUGAUACUCGUGCGCUGGAGUUCGGGAGAGGAGAGUGGAAUUCCCAGUGUAGAGGUGAAAUUCGUAGAUAUUGGGAAGAACCCCGGUGGCGAAGGCGGCUCUCUGGACCGCGACUGACGCUGAGGCGCGAAAGCGUGGGGAGCAAACAGG